AACGAACGCUGGCGGCGUGGCUAAAGCAUGCAAGUCGAACGGACCCCUUGAUGAGUAAUCUGAUUGGGAGUUAGUGGCGAACGGGUGAGGAAUAAAUGGAUAACGUGCCCCGAACUCUGGGAUAGCGGCGGAACUUCGGUUCCUUUGCGAAAGUGCCGGUAAUACCAGAUGAUCUCGUGUGAUCUCCUGAUUAUGCGAACAAAGUUCAGGCGGUUUGGGAGCGGUCCAUUUCCUAUCAGCUUGUUGGUGGGGUAAAGGCCUACCAAGGCAACGACGGGUAUCGGGUGUGAGAGCACGACCCGACACAUCGGGACUGAGACACUGCCCGGACACCUACGGGUGGCUGCAGCAACGAAUAUUCCGCAAUGGGCGCAAGCCUGACGGAGCGACGCCGCGUGCAGGACGAAGUCUUUCGGGAUGUAAACUGCUGUCAGGGGCUAGAAAUAAAUUGAUCAGCCCCAAAGGAAGCAUCGGCUAACUCCGUGCCAGCAGCCGCGGUAAUACGGAGGAUGCGAGCGUUGUUCGGAAUCACUGGGCUUAAAGCGCAUGUAGGCGGAAUGUAGGGGGAAUUGGGCACGCCCCCGGCCCAAUCGGGGAAUUGCUAGGCAAACCGACAUC
rnacentral:rRNA from 1 species